rnacentral:tRNA from 1 species
GCGUAUAUAAGUUAACUGGUAAACUUUCUGCCUUCCAAGCAGAUUAUAAGGGUUCGAGUCCCUUUAUACGUA